rnacentral:lncRNA from 1 species
CUGAUGAGGACAUCACAUGCUCGGAUACAACCAUAUUGGCAUCUUUUGACUCCGAGGUGAAGCAAUUCUUUAUCAUAAUUAUAUGUGAUACAUUUGAUGAAUUGAUGCUGCACCAUGAUGUGUAUUCGUUGUCAAUUUCAGAAAUACAUACAUGGAUCAAAAAUAGUGUUAAACACACAUGGAAGGCAUGGAGUACCAAAGAAGUAGAUUGGGGGCCAAGUCCAAGUAUUCCUAACGUCCUCCACCAGGCCACCACGUCACUUUUGGCCCAAGGAAAGAAAGAGAUCCAAUCCAACACGUUUUGGUGCUGGAUUCGGACUACAGUUCUGGCCCAAUUUGCAACGACCGCCAUGACCUCAUCCGGACUCCGUUUUGGGCGUUCAAGUACUCCUUGGAAUCCUUAUGAAGUCUAUUUUCAUAUGGAUCUGGACUCAUGUCCAUAUCUAUUCUGAGGAGGCCGCAAUACACGAAAUACUACCGAAAGGUUUUCUGUCCACAAGUGCUGCGUCGCCCUAUUUUGGCCCGAUGGGCCAUGUAUCAAGUUGGGUCCAUUAGGGACGUGUCCUAGGGUUGGAGCACGACCCCAACACCCCCCUGGUCGUCCUCCUAGGUAUUAAUAAGGAUUAGAGCCGCCACGAACAGAUUGGGUUUUGUUUUGAUGUAAGUUUAGCCAUUGCUACUUCCUUGUAGACGCGUGUGUCGACUAGACCAUCCGUUCUACUCGAUUCGGAACCCCAACUUUGUGAGUUCAGAUUGGUUUCCAUCUCUAUAUUUGCAAUUGAGUUGCUUGUUAUACUUGUUCUUGCUAGUUCUUCGAUUGCUUGCAGGACGAGUGCCCUAGUGGCCGGGUGACGCGCUCCACAAGAUCGCGGCAGCCAUUGGAGGUGGUGUAUCGGUUGCUAAGGCGCAGCUUGGAAGGCUGUAGUCGGGCCGUGAACGUCGUCUCCAUCCAACAAUCGAGUUAUCCACGCCUCUCUCAUCGAAAGAUCGGGAAUCAACCCUAGCGGGUUCAUAUCAGUUGGUAUCAGAGCAUGUGAUGUCAUAUCAGUUGGUAAUCAGAGCAAGGUUUAUCGGUGAGAGACUUCUAGUUCUUUGCUGUUUUUAAUUUCCUAUAGUCCAGAAAAAGCCACAAAAUUAGUAGAUUAGUUUACUCGCAAUCCUAUAAACCCUUUGAGCCUUUGCUAGCACUGCUUAGUUAGGGCUUGUUGAGUUUUUGGUUGCAUCGGUUGUGUCGAGUUGCUGGUCUUAGUUUUAGUCCUUUAGAGUUUUGAGUUCUUGUCAUGUUCCAGUCACAGCCGUGUGCUACCAUAUAAAACCUUCUGUUGGCUGAAUCUGAAUACAUGUUUGUGUUCAAGUCUGAGUCCUACUCCGAGUUUGUUUAAGAUCAAAUCCCACGUGGUGCUGAGUUCAAGUUGGAAUCGGUUUGGAGUCCGAAUUGACAGCUGCCCUGUUGCUGUCUUGAGUCCAAAUCUGAUUUCUAUCCUUUCAGAAAAAGUUUGUGUGGUGUGUGACUCUUGUGAAGUCCUUUUGUUCAUAUAAUCAGAUUUGAGGAUCCCCUGAAAAAGAAGAAGAAGAAAAAAAACAGAAGAAAAAAAAAGGAAAAGAAAGACAAAAAAAAAAACAGGAAGAAAAGGGGCUGUUCGUUGUGCUUCCCUGUUGUUUUUCGGUGGUGUGUUGUGACUUCCUUUGUGUCCAGGCUCGCGUCUCUAGCACGGUCUAGGCUAGGACCAGCACAGUACCACCGUUGAACUAUUAUUCAGCUUGCUUUUGUGACUAACGUGGUGCUAGUAUAUUUCCUUGCUUUAGCCCACCUAGAGCUCCACAUAUUCGACUACAGCUUGACAGGCUUUUGUUGCUGCGGCAUCGAUACACUUCACUCCAUGGUUGCAGACUUGUUGGUUGCCGUCACCUCCUGUUUGGCUUGGUAAGAACUUGUAAGGGCUUGUUUUUACAAGUUGAGUUUGAGAGAAUUACAACCAACACAUCAUAGUAGUUGACAGGAGGAUACAUAUUAUUUUUGUGUUUCUUGUUUCCUACUAACCAUGGCAGGUGAUACGGAGAUUUUGGAGCUGAUGAAACUAGACUCUCAUAUUCAGGGUGUUAUUCAACACUUGCCGUUAUAUGAUGGUAAGUUUGAUCCUAAAGCUUACAUUGAUUGGGAGAUAAAAGUAGAUAAUGAAUUUGAUGAGCAUGACCUGUCCGAGAAACAAAAGAUUUAUAUUGCCUCUAAUAUUUUGACUGAAUUUGCCUUGCUACAAUGGAAACACAUUUGUCGGCGUAAGAAAGUUCUAGAAUCUUGGGAAGACUUUAAAUUUCUUUUUAGAGAUGCAUUCAUUCCUGAAUAUUAUGCUGAUUAUUUGCUUGCUAAAUUAGACAACUUGAGGCAAGGUAGUAGGACUGUGAAACAAUACUUCCAUGAUUUUAAAAUUUGUAUCAUGUAUGGUGGAUUAGAUGAAUGCAUGGAAGAUGUCAUGAGUAGGUUCAUGAGAGGGCUCAAUUCUGAAAUUCGAACUUUGUUAAUUAGCAAAUCAUGCAUGCAUCUUGCUCAAUUGUAUUGUCUUGCUCUCAAUGCUGAAAAGGAGAUUCUAUUAUCUGUGAAUACUUGCAAGAAUGAUGUGACCCAUUAUAUCCAAAAUUUGUCCACUCUCCAUGCUAAUGAAGAGCAAAAAAUAGUGGAACCCAUUGCUAAUUUUCCUUUGUCACAAAAUGAAUUACUUGCUGUUCCUUGUGAUAAAGAGGACUUGUGUGCUGAUGAUUCUUUUACUUCUAUACCACAAGUAGUGAAUAAGUGUGAUACUUUUGGUUUGGAAUCAUACAAAUGUGCUGAAGAUAAGCUUUUUCAUCCUAUUACUUGUGCACAAGAUGAACUGAAUUUGCUAUCCUCUUUAAAUACUUUGGGUUACAUUGAAUUUGAUGUUUUGUGUAAUCUAAAUUGUCUAAAAGAGAAACUUCAAUUUGGUUCUGGUUUGCCAAGUUUUAAUCAUUGUUUGCUUCAUGCAAUUGGCAAAUAUGAUAGCAAAGGAGAAUAUUUGGUGCAUAAAGUUUAUGUUUGCUCCACUCUGAAAUAUCCUUUUGGGCUACAAUACCAUGAUCAAAUAGAGGGCUGCACUAACACUAAUAAUGUCUUGCAAAGUUUUUCUAGUUUUUCCCAUAUGCAACAGGGUAAGACCAAAGAAGGGGAGCAUUACUGGUUGUGGCCAUGCAGCAUGGCCGUCGCUCCGUGCUCCAACAUCAAAACAAGCACCUUAGAAUGCCACUGGAGCAAGUCGAGGACGACUUGCAGCCAAGAAGGGGAGAAUGAUGAGGACAUCACAUGCUCGGAUACAACCAUAUUGGCAUCUUUUGACUCCGAGGUGAAGCAAUUCUUUAUCAUAAUUAUAUGUGAUACAUUUGAUGAAUUGAUGCUGCACCAUGAUGUGUAUUCGUUGUCAAUUUCAGAAAUACAUACAUGGAUCAAAAAUAGUGUUAAACACACAUGGAAGGCAUGGAGGACCAAAGAAGUAGAUUGGGGGCCAAGUCCAAGUAUUCCUAACGUCCUCCACCAGGCCACCACGUCACUUUUGGCCCAAGGAAAGAAAGAGAUCCAAUCCAACACGUUUUGGUGCUGGAUUCGGACUACAGUUCUGGCCCAACUUGCAACGACCGCCACGACCUCAUCCGGACUCCGUUUU